UGUUCGUGCCAGCUUGUGGCGUCCUGAAGCUAGGUUUGGCUUGAAAAUGUCGUUCCCUAAAGAAAAUAAGAAUAGGAUAGGUUUGUACAGUUUGAUUUACGGAGUAAUCUGUUAUAAUGUUGAAGGACCAAAGUAAAUAAUAAUUUAGUUUAAAGGUUACGAUAUGACAGACAGCUUUGGUAAAUGGAAAAAAGGAAACAAGAACUUGAAACUGUCAUCUAACCAAAAUUUGAAGAAAAUUGAGCCAAAAAACCAAGAGCCAGAUAAAAAGCGAGGACCCAUUGACAUCGUCACUCGUAAAAAGCAACUCUUCUGAAGAUAUUUUCAUUUCUAGCUUAUUUACCAAUAUUGCAACUCGGGGUGUUUCUUCAGCUCAAGAUCUCGAUAGUAACAAAGUUGGUGUUGACCACAAUAGUUUUACCCAAAAAAUUUACACGAGGAACCAUGCUUCCAAUCCUGAAAGAACUGCAAUAUCGUCUAGCAGCUAAACUCUCAUAAUUCACAGGGAGAAAAUGAAACCCUAACUUGAGCGGAAGUUAGAUAAAUUGAAGAAGAGAUACCAAAAAGGAAAAAUAAAAAGGUGACGCCCAAAAUAGCAAAACUUUCAACAACCAGAAAAAGUAAAAAUUUUGGAAGGCAAAAGUAAAGUUGAGAAGGCAAGAAGCAUUGUAGGGAAACAGGCAUUGGAAGGUUCUCUUCAAAGAGCUGAAGGUUUAAGGUAAAAGACGAUGUGAAUUGCUUGCUAAAUCAGUUAAAAAACGCGAUAAAAUCAAAUCACAAAGUAAAAAUAAGUGGACCAAUGCAUUGAAGAACAGAAAAGGAGAAAAGCUAACAUUAAGAAACAUGAAAAGAAAGAACCUAAACUAAUGAAAUAAGGCCAAUUUAUCAUAUUAAUGAGCGAUACUGACUCUUGGAUGAGUUAACUCGUGUUCUAUUAUGUCCAAAACGUGUUAUAGUUUUGUAUUAAAAUACACUGGCAUGAUUCCCAUGU